GCUUACGGCCAUACCACUCUGAGCACGCCCGAUCUCGGAAGCCAAGCACGGUCGGGCAUGGUUAGUACUUGGACGGCAGACCGCCUGGGAAUACCAGGUGCUGUAAGCU
rnacentral:rRNA from 1 species